rnacentral:rRNA from 1 species
AACCUGGUUGAUCCUGCCAGUAGUCAUACGCUCGUCUAAAAGAUUAGGCCAUGCAUGUCUAAGUAUAAAUGCUUUAUACUGUGAAACUGCGAAUGGCUCAUUAUAUCAGUUAUAGUUUAUUUGAUAGUACCUUACUACUUGGAUAACCGUAGUAAUUCUAGAGCUAAUACAUGCGUAAAGUCCCGAUGGGAUGUAUUUAUUAGAUCGAAACCAAUGCGCUUCGGCGGUAUUUUGGUGAGUCAUAAUAACUGUGCGGAUCGUAUGGCCUCGUGCCGACGAUGAAUCAUUCAAGUUUCUGCCCUAUCAGUUUCGAUGGUAGGGUAUUGGCCUACCAUGGCGUUAACGGGUAACGGAGAAUUAGGGUUCGAUUCCGGAGAGGGAGCCUGAGAGAUGGCUACCACAUCCAAGGAAGGCAGCAGGCGCGUAAAUUACCCAAUCCUGACUCAGGGAGGUAGUGACAAUAAAUAACGAUGCCGGGCUCUUUGAGUCUGGCAAUUGCAAUGAGAACAAUCUAAACCCCUUAGCGAGGAUCAAUUGGAGGGCAAGUCUGGUGCCAGCAGCCGCGGUAAUUCCAGCUCCAAUGGCGUAUAUUAAAGUUGUUGCAGUUAAAAAGCUCGUAGUUGGAUUUCUGGCGGGAGCGACCGGUCGGCCCAUUUGGGUGUGUACUAGUGUUGCGUCCGGCCAUAUUUGCGGAGAGCGUGUGCGGCAUUAAGUUGUCGUGCUCGGGACCCGCAUCGUUUACUGUGAGAAAAUUAGAGUGUUCAAAGCAGGCUUAUGCCUUGGAUAUGUUAGCAUGGAAU